ACUUAAAUUGAAGAGUUUGAUCAUGGCUCAGAUUGAACGCUGGCGGCAGGCCUAACACAUGCAAGUCGAGCGGUAGCACAGAGAGCUUGCUCUCGGGUGACGAGCGGCGGACGGGUGAGUAAUGUCUGGGAAACUGCCUGAUGGAGGGGGAUAACUACUGGAAACGGUAGCUAAUACCGCAUAACGUCGCAAGACCAAAGUGGGGGACCUUCGGGCCUCAUGCCAUCAGAUGUGCCCAGAUGGGAUUAGCUAGUAGGUGGGGUAACGGCUCACCUAGGCGACGAUCCCUAGCUGGUCUGAGAGGAUGACCAGCCACACUGGAACUGAGACACGGUCCAGACUCCUACGGGAGGCAGCAGUGGGGAAUAUUGCACAAUGGGCGCAAGCCUGAUGCAGCCAUGCCGCGUGUGUGAAGAAGGCCUUCGGGUUGUAAAGCACUUUCAGCGGGGAGGAAGGCGUUAAGGUUAAUAACCUUGUCGAUUGACGUUACCCGCAGAAGAAGCACCGGCUAACUCCGUGCCAGCAGCCGCGGUAAUACGGAGGGUGCAAGCGUUAAUCGGAAUUACUGGGCGUAAAGCGCACGCAGGCGGUCUGUCAAGUCGGAUGUGAAAUCCCCGGGCUCAACCUGGGAACUGCAUUCGAAACUGGCAGGCUAGAGUCUUGUAGAGGGGGGUAGAAUUCCAGGUGUAGCGGUGAAAUGCGUAGAGAUCUGGAGGAAUACCGGUGGCGAAGGCGGCCCCCUGGACAAAGACUGACGCUCAGGUGCGAAAGCGUGGGGAGCAAACAGGAUUAGAUACCCUGGUAGUCCACGCCGUAAACGAUGUCGAUUUGGAGGUUGUGCCCUUGAGGCGUGGCUUCCGGAGCUAACGCGUUAAAUCGACCGCCUGGGGAGUACGGCCGCAAGGUUAAAACUCAAAUGAAUUGACGGGGGCCCGCACAAGCGGUGGAGCAUGUGGUUUAAUUCGAUGCAACGCGAAGAACCUUACCUGGUCUUGACAUCCACAGAACUUUCCAGAGAUGGAUUGGUGCCUUCGGGAACUGUGAGACAGGUGCUGCAUGGCUGUCGUCAGCUCGUGUUGUGAAAUGUUGGGUUAAGUCCCGCAACGAGCGCAACCCUUAUCCUUUGUUGCCAGCGGUUCGGCCGGGAACUCAAAGGAGACUGCCAGUGAUAAACUGGAGGAAGGUGGGGAUGACGUCAAGUCAUCAUGGCCCUUACGACCAGGGCUACACACGUGCUACAAUGGCAUAUACAAAGAGAAGCGACCUCGCGAGAGCAAGCGGACCUCAUAAAGUAUGUCGUAGUCCGGAUUGGAGUCUGCAACUCGACUCCAUGAAGUCGGAAUCGCUAGUAAUCGUAGAUCAGAAUGCUACGGUGAAUACGUUCCCGGGCCUUGUACACACCGCCCGUCACACCAUGGGAGUGGGUUGCAAAAGAAGUAGGUAGCUUAACCUUCGGGAGGGCGCUUACCACUUUGUGAUUCAUGACUGGGGUGAAGUCGUAACAAGGUAACCGUAGGGGAACCUGCGGUUGGAUCACCUCCUUACCUUAAAGAA
rnacentral:rRNA from 1 species